UACGUAGGGUGCGAGCGUUGUCCGGAAUUAUUGGGCGUAAAGGGCUCGUAGGCGGUUUGUCACGUCGGGAGUGAAAACUCGGGGCUUAACCCCGAGCCUGCUUCCGAUACGGGCUGACUAAAGGUAUGCAGGGGAGAACGGAAUUCCUGGUGUAGCGGUGGAAUGCGCAGAUAUCAGGAGGAACACCGGUGGCGAAGGCGGGUCUCUGGGCAGUAACUGACGCUGAGGAGCGAAAGCGUGGGGAGCGAACAGG
rnacentral:rRNA from 1 species